UGGCUGUCACAGCGUUCUGCCGGCCUCGCCGCAGCCCCUUUAUAGCGGAGCAGCUGGUCCCGGGCCAGGGCCCCGCCCCGUGGAGGCGGCGGCCGAGGAGGCGGGGACUGCGGGCACCGGGCCGGGGGUGGGGGGAAGGGGGAGACAAGCCUUGCGGUGAUUCAGCGGCCGCUCCACGUGGGCCCGCACCGCACUGGACCCCACACUUGGGUGUCACCGGGCCGGCCUUUUCCUUGCGUCCCCUUGAGUUCCAGACCUCUUGUCACCCGGUAGCUUGCCCUUCUCUGCUUUUUCACCAGCAGUUUGCAGUUCACAGCUUUGGCGCAAGUGCCCUUUCCCAGCGCCCUUUCUUUGUCUCGCCACUCUCGGCCCUUUGAGCAGCUCUUCUCUGGCUUCCUGACUUUCGUCUGGCCCCCUACCUCUUAGUCUCUUUCUUCCUUACUUUUGGCCGUAGGGUCCGCUGUUCUUUAUCACACACACCCCUCCCACCUCUCCACGAGGCCCUUCUCCCUCUACUUUUUUUUUUUCUUCAUCCGGCAUUUCCCUUGAAGCCCUUUCCCCUGGGACUUUUUUCUUUGCAGCCUCGACUUUCACCCCUUAACCCCCAACUCUCUUUUUGUUCCCCCAUCCAUCCUUGUCUUCCUUUUCUCCCCCCCCCCCCCACCCCCCACUCCUCGUCUUAAAGCAGCAAGAGAUGAGCUGAGAGUUAUGCAGAAGAAAAAAAAAGAGAGAGUUUUUGAGGAAUGGCCCGCCGGAAACCUCCGGAAAGGGGACAAAGAAGACAGGCCGGGGUAGUCAUUUGUGUUAAAAGUGGAAAGUGGCACUCCAGUCUGCUUAACUGUUGGGGGACGACUACAGCUUCCAGCAGUUGAUCAAAUUGACCGAAAGGUUUGUUCAAGACCACACACCUUCCAAGUGGUGGUGCUGGGACCAGGCUCAGCUCUUCUGGUGGCACUGGUAACAUUACACAACUCCCUCAGUAGACUGCCAGAUCCGGUCUCCAGCUGGAACCUUCAACACAAAUGUGAACGCUUCAGAGAGGAACGUCGUGGUAAUGUGGCUACGAGAGUUACUGAUCAUUUACGUGUAUCCAGUGUGUUAAAUGUUUGGCCCCAAACUUCCCUGAGUCUUAUUCAAUCAACACAAUUUCCUCAAGAUGACCUUGUUAUCAUCUCCAUUUUUAUAGAAAAAAAAAAAAGCAAUCAAGUACAGAGACACAAAGAAGUUAAAUAUACACAUAACUGCAAGGUCAUUAGAAGGUCAUUGUUUCCAACUUUAAAAGCAAUCUCUCAUUUUAAAUAUCUCUCAUUAGUGCCUAAUUGUCAUGCCACGUUAAAAACACUCAGGCAAUGUUAUGCAUACAUAUUCUUCCCCCUUCUGCAAUUAAUAUCAAAAGACUUUAAUUUCUCAGAUGACUUUUUUUUAUUGUUUCAUUUGUGACUUUAUUAAAG
rnacentral:lncRNA from 1 species